rnacentral:rRNA from 1 species
GAUGAACGCUGGCGGCGUGCCUAAUACAUGCAAGUCGAGCGAACAGAUGAGGAGCUUGCUCCUCUGACGUUAGCGGCGGACGGGUGAGUAACACGUGGAUAACCUACCUAUAAGACUGGGAUAACUUCGGGAAACCGGAGCUAAUACCGGAUAAUAUAUUGAACCGCAUGGUUCAAUAGUGAAAGACGGUUUUGCUGUCACUUAUAGAUGGAUCCGCGCCGCAUUAGCUAGUUGGUAAGGUAACGGCUUACCAAGGCAACGAUGCGUAGCCGACCUGAGAGGGCGAUCGGCCACACUGGAACUGAGACACGGUCCAGACUCCUACGGGAGGCAGCAGUAGGGAAUCUUCCGCAAUGGGCGAAAGCCUGACGGAGCAACGCCGCGUGAGUGAUGAAGGUCUUCGGAUCGUAAAACUCUGUUAUUAGGGAAGAACAAAGGGGUAAGUAACUAUGCACGGCUUGACGGUACCUAAUCAGAAAGCCACGGCUAACUACGUG